GGCCUUUUGUACAUUGAAAUAUUAGACUACAGCUGAUUAUGUCUAACUGAAGAGAAAUAGUAAUUGUGCUGACUAAAUCAUUAAGUAUAAAAGCUGUUUUCCAGGCGUCAUGUUUAACAGAGCUAGCAAAUCCGCUACAUAGCUUAACACAUAACACAACACCGAAAAAUGAUUUUCGAAAUUUGGUCAUCAUCUUUCGGAAGAUGUGUUGCAUGUAAACAUAGUGAAGGUUCAGUGAUGUGGCACAAUUCCACCACUUUUGUUAUGUAAUCUCUAAGAAUAUGCAUUUAUGGUAUAAUGAAAAUCCACAUGCAUUGGAUGGCUAACCCCUGCAUUCAUAAAAGACUGGCGUGUUUUGUGUAAUAUCACAGUGUCGCAUCAUUGGGCCAAUUUUUUUCAAAUCUACUGUGACAAGUGCAGUUUACAUCAAAAUGUUUUGAGAAUUUGUGAACCUGCUGGAUGACAAACUUACCCUCGGCUGGUACCAACAGGAUGGCGGCACAUACCACACGUCUUGAUUGACAAUGGCAGAGGUCGACUCAUUUCUCAUUUUUCCCCAGCAGAGUGAUUUAGAAAGGGCUGUACCUCCCCCACCCCCUCCCCAAGGUCACCUGAUUUAACGAAACGACUUUUUCCUCUGGGGUGGCCCAAGAGGGGAGGUCUACAGGAACUAACAGCACAACUUGGAUCUUCUGUGAAAUUAAGGCAGUGAACAGCAGAGGUUCUGGCAGCAACAUUGAAAAACCUGCAGCUGUAUUUACAAGUCGAGAGCUGUCACUUCCAGCAUCUUUGCGAGUCACCUUUAUUUCCCAUGAACAAGUAACAGAAAUAAUGGCAGAAUUGAAGUGCUGAGGAGGGUUGGUAUCGAUCCUGGUGUGUUUACAACAAAAGCAUUUUACACCAUCAACAAGAGCAGAGUCAAGAAAGCUAGCACAUCAGUGACUUACCUGCAAAUACAGGCCAGGCAGAUUCGAAGAGAAACCUGAAGGAUGAGGAGUAUCAGUAUGGAGGAUUUUAAAAUUGAGGAAAUGUUCACAAUGUGUUGCUGUCUUCUGGGAACUAAAAAAUACAAGAUCCUGCAAUUACAUUCUGAUUUUUAGAUGAUUGUAUGCAGAAAAAAAGUUAAUUUUGGAUGUGGAAAAUUAAAAACUCUGUUAAUGAUACAAUUUGUACCAUGAAUUAAUAACUGUAGUACAAUGGUCUUCUAACCUUCUCAGGGCACUACAAUAAAAUUUUCAGAUUGAUUGCAUGAUUAUAAUUUGAG